CCUACGGGGGGCUGCAGUGGGGAAUAUUGGACAAUGGGGGCAACCCUGAUCCAGCCAUGCCGCGUGUGUGAAGAAGGCCCUCGGGUUGUAAAGCACUUUCAGUGAGGAAGAACGCCUGGUGGUUAAUACCCAUCAGGAAAGACAUCACUCACAGAAGAAGCACCGGCUAACUCCGUGCCAGCAGCCGCGGUAAUACGGAGGGUGCGAGCGUUAAUCGGAAUUACUGGGCGUAAAGCGCGCGUAGGUGGCUUGAUAAGCCGGUUGUGAAAGCCCCGGGCUCAACCUGGGAACGGCAUCCGGAACUGGCAAGCUAGAGUGCAGGAGAGGAAGGUAGAAUUCCCGGUGUAGCGGUGAAAUGCGUAGAGAUCGGGAGGAAUACCAGUGGCGAAGGCGGCCUUCUGGACUGACACUGACACUGAGGUGCGAAAGCGUGGGUAGCAAACAGGAUUAGAUACCCUAGUAGUC
rnacentral:rRNA from 1 species